rnacentral:rRNA from 1 species
AGCAGCCGCGGUAAUUCCAGCUCCAAUAGCGUAUAUUAAAGUUGUUGCAGUUAAAAAGCUCGUAGUUGAAUUUCGGGGUUAGUAGGUUGGUCGUGCCACUGGUAUGUACUGGCUCUACUGAUCCCUCCUUCUUGUAGAACCGUAAUGCCAUUAACUUGGUGUUGCGGGGAAACAGGACUGUUACUUUGAAAAAAUUAGAGUGUUUAAAGCAGGCUAACGCUUGAAUACAUUAGCAUGGAAUAAUGAAAUAGGACGCUUGAUCCUAUUUUGUUGGUUUCUAGGAUUGACGUAAUGAUUAAUAGGGAUAGUUGGGGGCAUUAGUAUUCAAUUGUCAGAGGUGAAAUUCUUGGAUUUAUUGAAGACUAACUACUGCGAAAGCAUUUGCCAAGGAUGUUUUCAUUAAUCAAGAACGAAAGUUAGGGGAUCGAAGACGAUCAGAUACCGUCGUAGUCUUAACCAUAAACUAUGCCGACUAGGGAUCGGAUGAUGUUAAUUUUUAAUGACUCAUUCGGCGCCUUAC